GACCACACAGAGGUCUCAGAGGCCAGAAGGCAAGGCCGGCAGCCGCGAGAGGACAGAGGAGGGCAGGACUAGUCAGAAAGGGGCUGCCCUUGCUGUCUUUUAGGACUUGGCUGUGGUAUUCAGUGUAUGGGCUACAAUGGUGUGGUGAACGCUAAGAAGGGUGGAUGUGGAGAGGAGGGGAUCUAUGGGGAAAAAACACAUGCAAACAAAAGAAAGUAAAAAAAAAAAAAAACAUAAAAAAGCUAUAUGUUCAUUUGGGCACAAUUAGAUACAUAUAAUUGAUGUAGCAUAUUG